CCUACGGGAGGCUGCAGUGAGGAAUAUUGGUCAAUGGACGAGAGUCUGAACCAGCCAAGUAGCGUGAAGGAUGACUGCCCUAUGGGUUGUAAACUUCUUUUAUAAAGGAAUAAAACGAGGCACGUGUGCCUUUUUGCAUGUACUUUAUGAAUAAGGAUCGGCUAACUCCGUGCCAGCAGCCGCGGUAAUACGGAGGAUCCGAGCGUUAUCCGGAUUUAUUGGGUUUAAAGGGAGCGUAGAUGGGUUGUUAAGUCAGUUGUGAAAGUUUGCGGCUCAACCGUAAAAUUGCAAUUGAUACUGGCAGUCGUGAGUACAGUUGAGGUAGGCGGAAUGCGUGGUGUAGCGGUGAAAUGCUUAGAUAUCACGAAGAACCCCGAUUGCGAAGGCAGCUUACUAAACUGUGACUGACAUUGAUGCUCGAAAGUGUGGGUAUCAAACAGGAUUAGAUACCCCAGUAGUC
rnacentral:rRNA from 1 species